rnacentral:rRNA from 1 species
UAUCCGGAUUUACUGGGUGUAAAGGGAGCGCAGGCGGUGCGGCAAGUCUGAUGUGAAAGCCCGGGGCUCAACCCCGGUACUGCAUUGGAAACUGUCGUACUAGAGUGUCGGAGGGGUAAGCGGAAUUCCUAGUGUAGCGGUGAAAUGCAUAGAUAUUAGGAGGAACACCAGUGGCGAAGGCGGCUUACUGGACGAUUACUGACGCUGAGGCUCGAAAGCGUGGGGAGCAAACUGGAUUAGAUACCCU